rnacentral:rRNA from 1 species
AUUGAACGCUGGCGGCAUGCUUUACACAUGCAAGUCGAACGGUAACAGGGUGCUUGCACCGCUGACGAGUGGCGAACGGGUGAGUAAUGCGUCGGAACGUGCCGAGUAGUGGGGGAUAACGCAGCGAAAGUUGUGCUAAUACCGCAUACGUACUGAGGUAGAAAGUGGGGGACCUUCGGGCCUCACGCUAUUCGAGCGGCCGACGUCUGAUUAGCUAGUAGGUGAGGUAAAGGCUCACCUAGGCGACGAUCAGUGGCGGGUCUGAGAGGAUGAUCCGCCUCACAGGGACUGAGGAACGGCCCGGACUCCUACGGGAGGCAACAGUGGGGAAUUUUGGACAAUGGGCGAAAGCCUGAUCCGGCCAUGCCGCGUGUCUGAAGAAGGGCUUCGGGUUGUAAAGGACUUUUGUCGGGGAGGAAAUCCCCAGCGUUAAUACCGCUGGGGGAUGACAGUACCUGAAGAAUAAGCACCGGCUAACUACCUGCCAGCCGCCGCCGUAAGAC